rnacentral:rRNA from 1 species
GAUGAACGCUGGCGGCGUGCCUAAUACAUGCAAGUCGAACGCACAGCGAAAGGUGCUUGCACCUUUCAAGUGAGUGGCGAACGGGUGAGUAACACGUGGACAACCUGCCUCAAGGCUGGGGAUAACAUUUGGAAACAGAUGCUAAUACCGAAUAAAACUUAGUGUCGCAUGACACAAAGUUAAAAGGCGCUUCGGCGUCACCUAGAGAUGGAUCCGCGGUGCAUUAGUUAGUUGUGGGUAAAGGCCUACCGAAGACAAUGAUGCAUAGCCGAGUUGAGAGACUGAUCGGCCACAUUGGACUGAGACACGGCCCAAAACUCCUACGGGAGGCUGCAGUAGGGAAUCUU